GAUAGUCGAGCCAUCCAUCUUCUCUCCUCCACCUUUCUUUAAUUAUUGCUUCGACGUUCCGGGAUUAUCGUCUCAGAGGCUGCGAAUAAGAAGAGGAUCUGGGGACCAGCGUUUAUUAACAUAACAGAAGAAAAAAACCUGUAUGGAAACUUCAGAAACACUGGGGUUCAAAUAGCAGGAGCACAAAUCACGAUAACGGAUGUGUUGUGGAGACAGCGAGCUCGGCUUCACGUACAGGCCACUAUUAAAAACUGAAAGGCUCAUAUUUUCACUAUCAACAAGGCCCGGACGUCAUCUCGUGUCUGAUUUUAUACAGUCUUCCUGUCUGCCAGGAGAUGAUGUCACGGCUCGGGGUCAGCCGUGUGCUAAUUGAAUAUGAUAAAGCGUUCCCUGCUCUCACCUCUUGUUUCGUCACCCCGGGACCCGACCAUACGCUGGCUCACACACCAUCCUGGAGGGAUGGAGCGAGGAGGAGGAGGAGGAUGGG